rnacentral:rRNA from 1 species
GACGAACGCUGGCGGCGUGCUUAACACAUGCAAGUCGAACGGAAAGGCCCUGCUUUUGUGGGGUGCUCGAGGGGCGAACGGGGGAGUAACACGUGAGUAACCUGCCCUUGACUUUGGGAUAACUUCAGGAAACUGGGGCUAAUACCGGAUAGGAGCUCCUGCUGCAUGGUGGGGGUUGGAAAGUUUCGGCGGUUGGGGAUGGACUCGCGGCUUAUCAGCUUGUUGGUGGGGUAGUGGCUUACCAAGGCAUUGGCGGGUAGCCGGCCUGAGAGGGUGACCGGCCACAUUGGGACUGAGAUACGGCCCAGACGCCUACGGGAGGCAGCAGUGGGGAAUAUUGCACAAUGGGCGGAAGCCUGAUGCGGAAGCGCCGCGUGCGGGAUGACGGCCUUCGGGUUGUAAACCGCUUUCGCCUGUGACGAAGCGUGAGUGACGGUAAUGGGUAAAGAAGCACCGGCUAACUACGUG